GGAGGGGUUCCCGAGUGGUCAAAGGGAGCAGACUGUAAAUCUGUCGGCUCAGCCUACGGAGGUUCGAACCCUCCCCCCUCCACCA
rnacentral:tRNA from 1 species